rnacentral:rRNA from 1 species
UGGGGAAUCUUCCGCAAUGGACGAAAGUCUGACGGAGCAACGCCGCGUGAGUGAAGACGGCCUUCGGGUUGUAAAGCUCUGUGAUCCGGGACGAAAGAGCCUGAGGUGAAUAGCCUAAGGAAGUGAUGGUACCGGAAAAGCAAGCCACGGCUAACUACGUGUCAGCAGCCGCGGUAAUACGUAGGUGGCAAGCGUUGUCCGGAAUUAUUGGGCGUAAAGCGCGCGCAGGCGGCUUCCUAAGUCCAUCUUAAAAGUGCGGGGCUUAACCCCGUGAUGGGAUGGAAACUGGGAAGCUGGAGUAUCGGAGAGGAAAGUGGAAUUCCUAGUGGAGCGGUGAAAUGCGUAGAGAUUAGGAAGAACACCGGUGGCGAAGGCGACUUUCUGGACGAAAACUGACGCUGAGGCGCGAAAGCGUGGGGAGCAAACAGG